GGUGGGGUCAGAGGAUAAAGAAGGCUCGGAAGAGGGAAAUCCGAGGUUCAGUCGGCAAAAGCCGACACAACAAAGCAAAACUGACUAUUAGCCGAACCGAGUUCGGCGCGAGUUGCGCCGGGCAUAGCCCGUAAUAGUCGAGUAUAUUUCGGACGAACUCCGGAACCGGGAAGCGAAGGCCGGCCCGGAGGUCCUCAACGUAGAAGGC
rnacentral:lncRNA from 1 species